rnacentral:rRNA from 1 species
AGCAGCCGCGGUAAUUCCAGCUCCAAUAGCGUAUAUUAAAGUUGUUGCAGUUAAAAAGCUCGUAGUUGAAUUUCGGGGUUAGUAGGCUGGUCGUGCCACUGGUAUGUACUGGUCUCACUGAUUCCUCCUUCCUGAUGAGCUGUAAUGCCAUUAAUUUGGUGUUGCAGGGAAUCUGGACUGUUACUUUGAAAAAAUUAGAGUGUUUAAAGCAGGCUAACGCUUGAAUACAUUAGCAUGGAAUAAUGAAAUAGGACGUUCGAUCCUAUUUUGUUGGUUUCUAGGAUUGACGUAAUGAUUAAUAGGGAUAGUUGGGGGCAUUAGUAUUCAAUUGUCAGAGGUGAAAUUCUUGGAUUUAUUGAAGACUAACUACUGCGAAAGCAUUUGCCAAGGAUGUUUUCAUUAAUCAAGAACGAAAGUUAGGGGAUCGAAGACGAUCAGAUACCGUCGUAGUCUUAACCAUAAACUAUCGCCGACGUAGGGAUCGGAUGAUAGUUUAAUUUUUAAUGUACUACUACG